UACGGAGGGUGCAAGCGUUAUCCGGAUUUACUGGGUUUAAAGGGUGCGUAGGCGGGCCCUUAAGUCAGUGGUGAAAGCUCCGAGCUUAACUCGGAAACUGCCAUUGAUACUAUAGGUCUUGAAUUCGGUCGAGGUUGGCGGAAUGUGUCGUGUAGCGGUGAAAUGCUUAGAUAUGACACAGAACACCGAUUGUGAAGGCAGCUAGCUAGACCGACAUUGACGCUGAGGCACGAAAGCGUGGGGAUCAAACAGG
rnacentral:rRNA from 1 species